rnacentral:rRNA from 1 species
GACGAACGCUGGCGGCGUGCUUAACACAUGCAAGUCGAACGGAAAGGCCCCUUUGGGGGUACUCGAGUGGCGAACGGGUGAGUAACACGUGAGUAACCUGCCCUUGACUUCGGGAUAACUUCAGGAAACUGGGGCUAAUACCGGAUAGGAAUCCUUGCUGCAUGGUGGGGGUUGGAAAGCUUCGGCGGGUUUGGAUGGACUCGCGGCUUAUUAGCUUGUUGGUGGGGUAGUGGGUUACCAAGGGUUUGACGGGUAGGCGGCCUGAGAGGGCGACCGGCCACAGUGGGACUGAGAUACGGCCCAGACUCCUACGGGAGGCAGCAGUGGGGAAUAUUGCACAAUGGGCGGAAGCCUGAUGCAGCAACGCCGCGUGCGGGAUGACGGCCUUCGGGUUGUAAACCGCUUUCAGCAGGGGCGAAGCUUGUGGUGACGGUACCUGCAGAAGAAGCACCGGCUAACUACGUG